AUUGAACGCUGGCGGCAGGCUUAACACAUGCAAGUCGAACGGUAACAGGAGAAAAGCUUGCUUUUCUUGCUGACGAGUGGCGGACGGGUGAGUAAUGCUUGGGAAUCUGCCUUAUGGAGGGGGAUAACUACGGGAAACUGUAGCUAAUACCGCGUAAUAUCUUCGGAUUAAAGUAUGGGAUCUUCGGACCAUAUGCCAUAAGAUGAGCCCAAGUGAGAUUAGGUAGUUGGUGAGGUAAAGGCUCACCAAGCUGACGAUCUCUAGCUGGUUUGAGAGGAUGACCAGCCACACUGGAACUGAGACACGGUCCAGACUCCUACGGGAGGCAGCAGUGGGGAAUAUUGCACAAUGGGCGCAAGCCUGAUGCAGCCAUGCCGCGUGAAUGAAGAAGGCUUUCGGGUUGUAAAGUUCUUUCAGCGAUGAGGAAGGUGCUAUAUCUAAUAGGUGUAGCAAUUGACGUUAGUCGCAGAAGAAGCACCGGCUAACUCCGUGCCAGCAGCCGCGGUAAUACGGAGGGUGCGAGCGUUAAUCGGAAUAACUGGGCGUAAAGGGCACGCAGGCGGUUGUCUAAGUCAGAUGUGAAAGCCCCGAGCUUAACUUGGGAAUUGCAUUUGAGACUGGGCGACUAGAGUCCUCUAGGGAGGGGUAGAAUUCCACGUGUAGCGGUGAAAUGCGUAGAGAUGUGGAGGAAUACCGAAGGCGAAGGCAGCCCCUUGGAGAGAGACUGACGCUGAGGUGCGAAAGCGUGGGUAGCAAACAGG
rnacentral:rRNA from 1 species